GCGCAAUGAAAGUAAAGGCUGGCUUCCGUCAGCUGAGGUGGGAUCCCCUCGGGGUGCACCAUCGACCGACCAUCUCCCCUCGGGGUCAAGGUUUGAGUUUGAGCAUUUAUGUUGGGACCCGAAAGAUGGUGAACUAUGCCUGAAUAGGGCGAAGCCAGGGGAAACUCUGGUGGAGGCUCGUAGCGAUUCUGACGUGCAAAUCGAUCGUCAAAUUUGGGUAUAGGGGCGAAAGACUAAUCGAACCAUCUAGUAGCUGGUUCCCUCCGAAAUUUCCCUCAGGAUAGCUGCAACCGGUCAAGAGUUUUAUCAGGUAAAGCGAAUGAUUAGAGGCCUCGGGGACGAAAUGUCCUCGACCUAUUCUCAAACUUUAAAUGGGUAAGAACUCGGGGUUGCUUAACUGAACCCCGGCGUUGAAUCUCGGUUGCUA
rnacentral:rRNA from 1 species